rnacentral:lncRNA from 1 species
GACCAUGUUAUAUAGGUAUGUUACUGGUGUGUUAUAGAUCAUGUUAUAUAGGUAUGUUACUGGUGUGUUAUAGACCAUGUUAUAUAGGUAUGUUACUGAUGUGUUAUAGACCAUGUUAUAUAGGUAUGUUACUGGUGUGUUAUAGACCAUGUUAUAUAGGUACAGUAUGUUACUGGUGUGUUAUAGACCAUGUUAUAUAGGUAUGUUACUGGUGUGUUAUAGAUCAUGUUAUAUAGGUACAGUAUGUUACUGGUGUGUUAUAGACCAUGUUAUAUAGGUACAGUAUGUUACUGGUGUGUUAUAGACCAUGUUAUAUAGGUAUGUUACUGGUGUGUUAUAGAUCAUGUUAUAUAGGUAUGUUACUGGUGUGUUAUAGACCAUGUUAUAUAGGUAUGUUAC